rnacentral:lncRNA from 1 species
AUUCUUAAUUAUUUAUAAAUAAUUUUUGAGAGUUAAUAUAAUCAUUUUAAUCACAAAUUUAAAAAUAAAUUUGAAAAAUGGUAUCAAACUUGUUAAAAUUGAUAUUCUCCCAAAAAUCUAUUAAUUUAUUAACUUUUUAUUUAAUUAUAAUUAUUUGAUGAAAACUUGUCACAAACUAUAAGAAGAUAAAAAAAAUUCUUAAAAACAAUGAAAUUUUAUAACAAAUUUUCAAACAAAGUCUAAUCAUGAUUAUUCUCAAAUCUAACACGUAUAAUAGUUAUAAAAUUUUAAGAUUCUGUGUAAAUUUAUUUUGGGAUUAAAAAUAUUAGUAACAUAACUGUAACAAUAACAUAUCUUCUGGCUACACGAACAUCUUGUAAAACCCUAUUUACCUUAUAAUAACCUCUU